rnacentral:rRNA from 1 species
UACGUAGGGUGCGAGCGUUGUCCGGAAUUAUUGGGCGUAAAGAGCUUGUAGGCGGUUUGUCGCGUCUGCUGUGAAAAUCCGGGGCUCAACCCCGGACUUGCAGUGGGUACGGGCAGACUAGAGUGUGGUAGGGGAGACUGGAAUUCCUGGUGUAGCGGUGAAAUGCGCAGAUAUCAGGAGGAACACCGAUGGCGAAGGCGGCUCACUGGUCCAUUACUGACGCUGAGGUGCGAAAGCGUGGGGAGCAAACAGG